GCUGUCGGUUUGCCGAUUAUAACAAGACGUCCGGACCUACCUUCCUGGUGAUCGAUGGUAGAUGUGGGUCCCGCGGGUUGUGUCGGUCGCAGAUGAGCGGGUAGACGAUUACGGUCGUCAGCCCCAGUUAGACCAACAGCUUCUUCCUGUCCCCGAUCGCAGGGAGCAGGGAGCAGGGAGCAGGGCAUCGUCAUCACCGCCCUCAUCCGAGCGACGACGAGAUCGAUUGGCUCUCCAUGGACUCUGUGACACCCAAGACAGAGGCUACAAAAGAACAGACUGUAGAAUUACUGAUAGCAAUCUCCCAAUCCGUUCCAAGAAUGAACCUCACAUCAAAUCCGUCACCUAUGAACUCAACCAUUGUUAUCAUGGCCAGUGAAAAGGAAAAUGAAGAUGCUGAGAAAUACAGAUCUAAGCUGAUCUCUAUCUCCUAUACACAGUCUCCUGAUGUUCAACGACCACCAUCUUUAGAAAAUUGUGGCAGUUAAAUGGGAAGUUGCAAUGACCUAAGGGCAUCUGAAUUUCUGUGUCUUGUAAUCUAUGCUGCUUGUUUACUUGCCACUAUCAAUAGGAUAAACUUGUUGUCAAGAUCUGCCAUGAUGUUCAAAGUAAUUUAAGAAGAAACUUGGAUAUGCCAGCUA